GACGAACGCUGGCGGCGUGCUUAACACAUGCAAGUCGAACGGAAAGGCCCUGCUUUUGUGGGGUGCUCGAGUGGCGAACGGGUGAGUAACACGUGAGUAACCUGCCCUUGACUUUGGGAUAACUUCAGGAAACUGGGGCUAAUACCGGAUAGGAGCUCCUGCUGCAUGGUGGGGGUUGGAAAGUUUCGGCGGUUGGGGAUGGACUCGCGGCUUAUCAGCUUGUUGGUGGGGUAGUGGCUUACCAAGGCUUUGACGGGUAGCCGGCCUGAGAGGGUGACCGGGCACCUUGGGAACUGAGAAACGCCCCGACUCCUACGGGAGGCAGGAGGGGGGAAUAUUGCAACAUGGGCGGAAGGCUGAAGCAGGAACGCCGCGUGCGGGAUGACGGCCUUCGGGUUGUAAACCGCUUUCGCCUGUGACGAAGCGUGAGUGACGGUAAUGGGUAAAGAAGCACCGGCUAACUACGUG
rnacentral:rRNA from 1 species